UGGUUUCCGAUGAAGAGGAAAAGUAAUUAAGAUCUGUUUUCAAAGAGAGGAAGGUCAGCGGCUGAAAGCCUUCUAAAACAGCCUUAAUGAAUGAACACCUUUGAGGAGUCUUUCUGAACGCAAUCGUUAGUAGGAGAGAACGUAGGCAGGCGUUAUCUGCAUUUGAGUGGAAGCAUGUCAUAUCAUGCUUCAAUUAGGGUGGCACCACGGGAAUCAACUCUCGUCCCUGAU
rnacentral:ncRNA from 1 species